GGUUAAGCGACUAAGCGUACACGGUGGAUGCCCUGGCAGUCAGAGGCGAUGAAGGACGUGCUAAUCUGCGAUAAGCGUCGGUAAGGUGAUAUGAACCGUUAUAACCGGCGAUUUCCGAAUGGGGAAACCCAGUGUGAUUCGUCACACUAUCAUUAACUGAAUCCAUAGGUUAAUGAGGCGAACCGGGGGAACUGAAACAUCUAAGUACCCCGAGGAAAAGAAAUCAACCGAGAUUCCCCCAGUAGCGGCGAGCGAACGGGGAGCAGCCCAGAGCCUGAAUCAGUGUGUGUGUUAGUGGAAGCGUCUGGAAAGGCGCGCGAUACAGGGUGACAGCCCCGUACACAAAAAUGCACAUGCUGUGAGCUCGAUGAGUAGGGCGGGACACGUGGUAUCCUGUCUGAAUAUGGGGGGACCAUCCUCCAAGGCUAAAUACUCCUGACUGACCGAUAGUGAACCAGUACCGUGAGGGAAAGGCGAAAAGAACCCCGGCGAGGGGAGUGAAAAAGAACCUGAAACCGUGUACGUACAAGCAGUGGGAGCACGCUUAGGCGUGUGACUGCGUACCUUUUGUAUAAUGGGUCAGCGACUUAUAUUCUGUAGCAAGGUUAACCGAAUAGGGGAGCCGAAGGGAAACCGAGUCUUAACUGGGCGUUAAGUUGCAGGGUAUAGACCCGAAACCCGGUGAUCUAGCCAUGGGCAGGUUGAAGGUUGGGUAACACUAACUGGAGGACCGAACCGACUAAUGUUGAAAAAUUAGCGGAUGACUUGUGGCUGGGGGUGAAAGGCCAAUCAAACCGGGAGAUAGCUGGUUCUCCCCGAAAGCUAUUUAGGUAGCGCCUCGUGAAUUCAUCUCCGGGGGUAGAGCACUGUUUCGGCAAGGGGGUCAUCCCGACUUACCAACCCGAUGCAAACUGCGAAUACCGGAGAAUGUUAUCACGGGAGACACACGGCGGGUGCUAACGUCCGUCGUGAAGAGGGAAACAACCCAGACCGCCAGCUAAGGUCCCAAAGUCAUGGUUAAGUGGGAAACGAUGUGGGAAGGCCCAGACAGCCAGGAUGUUGGCUUAGAAGCAGCCAUCAUUUAAAGAAAGCGUAAUAGCUCACUGGUCGAGUCGGCCUGCGCGGAAGAUGUAACGGGGCUAAACCAUGCACCGAAGCUGCGGCAGCGACACUAUGUGUUGUUGGGUAGGGGAGCGUUCUGUAAGCCUGUGAAGGUGUACUGUGAGGUAUGCUGGAGGUAUCAGAAGUGCGAAUGCUGACAUAAGUAACGAUAAAGCGGGUGAAAAGCCCGCUCGCCGGAAGACCAAGGGUUCCUGUCCAACGUUAAUCGGGGCAGGGUGAGUCGACCCCUAAGGCGAGGCCGAAAGGCGUAGUCGAUGGGAAACAGGUUAAUAUUCCUGUACUUGGUGUUACUGCGAAGGGGGGACGGAGAAGGCUAUGUUGGCCGGGCGACGGUUGUCCCGGUUUAAGCGUGUAGGCUGGUUUUCCAGGCAAAUCCGGAAAAUCAAGGCUGAGGCGUGAUGACGAGGCACUACGGUGCUGAAGCAACAAAUGCCCUGCUUCCAGGAAAAGCCUCUAAGCAUCAGGUAACAUCAAAUCGUACCCCAAACCGACACAGGUGGUCAGGUAGAGAAUACCAAGGCGCUUGAGAGAACUCGGGUGAAGGAACUAGGCAAAAUGGUGCCGUAACUUCGGGAGAAGGCACGCUGAUAUGUAGGUGAAGUCCCUCGCGGAUGGAGCUGAAAUCAGUCGAAGAUACCAGCUGGCUGCAACUGUUUAUUAAAAACACAGCACUGUGCAAACACGAAAGUGGACGUAUACGGUGUGACGCCUGCCCGGUGCCGGAAGGUUAAUUGAUGGGGUCAGCGCAAGCGAAGCUCUUGAUCGAAGCCCCGGUAAACGGCGGCCGUAACUAUAACGGUCCUAAGGUAGCGAAAUUCCUUGUCGGGUAAGUUCCGACCUGCACGAAUGGCGUAAUGAUGGCCAGGCUGUCUCCACCCGAGACUCAGUGAAAUUGAACUCGCUGUGAAGAUGCAGUGUACCCGCGGCAAGACGGAAAGACCCCGUGAACCUUUACUAUAGCUUGACACUGAACAUUGAGCCUUGAUGUGUAGGAUAGGUGGGAGGCUUUGAAGUGUGGACGCCAGUCUGCAUGGAGCCGACCUUGAAAUACCACCCUUUAAUGUUUGAUGUUCUAACGUGGACCCGUAAUCCGGGUUGCGGACAGUGUCUGGUGGGUAGUUUGACUGGGGCGGUCUCCUCCUAAAGAGUAACGGAGGAGCACGAAGGUUGGCUAAUCCUGGUCGGACAUCAGGAGGUUAGUGCAAUGGCAUAAGCCAGCUUGACUGCGAGCGUGACGGCGCGAGCAGGUGCGAAAGCAGGUCAUAGUGAUCCGGUGGUUCUGAAUGGAAGGGCCAUCGCUCAACGGAUAAAAGGUACUCCGGGGAUAACAGGCUGAUACCGCCCAAGAGUUCAUAUCGACGGCGGUGUUUGGCACCUCGAUGUCGGCUCAUCACAUCCUGGGGCUGAAGUAGGUCCCAAGGGUAUGGCUGUUCGCCAUUUAAAGUGGUACGCGAGCUGGGUUUAGAACGUCGUGAGACAGUUCGGUCCCUAUCUGCCGUGGGCGCUGGAGAACUGAGGGGGGCUGCUCCUAGUACGAGAGGACCGGAGUGGACGCAUCACUGGUGUUCGGGUUGUCAUGCCAAUGGCACUGCCCGGUAGCUAAAUGCGGAAGAGAUAAGUGCUGAAAGCAUCUAAGCACGAAACUUGCCCCGAGAUGAGUUCUCCCUGACUCCUUGAGAGUCCUGAAGGAACGUUGAAGACGACGACGUUGAUAGGCCGGGUGUGUAAGCGCAGCGAUGCGUUGAGCUAACCGGUACUAAUGAACCGUGAGGCUUAACCUU
rnacentral:rRNA from 1 species